rnacentral:rRNA from 1 species
AUGUGUUAUUUUUCAGUUGAACACAAUGGACUUUCUAUAGAUUUUCAUGGUUUUUGCAAAGUACUGAGCUUUGUUGUUUUAUUCCUACAUAUUCAGGAAUUUCGUUGUGAAGCUAAAGCGGGUGUUAAGACAAAGUCCACUCUGUCUAGAUUGAAAACGAUUGGAGACAUGAUUCACCUGAUAUUCAGGGGUAGUCAAAACCAUGGUGAAGUAUUACUGUGCAAGUUUCACUGUCUUGUGUUACUUCUCUCAUCUUCACUAUUUGGCAAAGAGUCAUUCUUUCGUACAUUCAUAAUCACUACCAAGUUUUAUGUUUAUUGA